CAGCAUCCUCAUCCAUCUGAAGAGGAGAGUCGACGCCCUGCUCUGACUGACUAAGCAGCAGUUCGUCUCCUGUGUGUAUUCAUCCCUCCAUCCCCACCGGCACAGGAGCGCUACGACUCAGCAGCUCGGCAGCACUCUCACAUAAAUUGGCGGUCAGCACAGCAGACGAGUGCCUCGCAAACACUCGACUUCUUUCAGGAUGCGGAGUGUUUGCUCUCUGAAGCACCUGCUGGAGACUGAUAACAGGCUGAAGAAUUCCUAAUUGAGUCUGUGGUAGUGCUGCAUAGUGGCACCAUGGGAUGCACCACCAGCGUGGUACUCUUGGAGGGGUUGCGCUCCAUCCUUGGCAGAAACUGCAGCUAUAUCAAGGGGGCGGUGGACCUAGCUACGCUGGAGGAUGAUGAGGAUUCACUGAGUCUAAGGGGAUCUCAACUUUGGAUGCCAACAACUGCUUUGGUGAAACCAAAGAUCAUUGAACCCCUGGACUAUGAGAAUGUGCUCAUCCAAAGGAAAACACAGAUCAUCAGUGAUGUUCUCCGGGACAUGCUACAGUUUCCACUGGAUGACUUCCAGAUCUCUACUCAGCGGCGCCAGGGCCGAACACUCUUCUCCACCGUGCCAGAGAAUGCAGAGAAAGAAGCAAACUCCCUGUUUGUCCAAGAGUGCAUCAAAACCUACAAGUCAGACUGGCAUGUGGUCAGCUACAAGUACGAGGACUAUUCUGGAGACUUCCGCCAGCUCCCCAACAAGGUGAUCAGGCCUGAGAAACUGGCAGUCCACCUGUUCGAGGUGGAUGAGGAUGUGGAGAAGGAUGAGGACACAGCCUCCCUUGGAUCUCAGAAGGGAGGAGUGUCAAAACAUGGCUGGCUGUACAAAGGCAACAUGAACAGUGCUAUCAGUGUUACCAUGCGGUCCUUCAAAAGACGGUAUUUUCACCUGGCUCAGCUGGGAGAUGGAUCCUAUAACCUCAACUUCUACAAGGAUGAGAACACCUCCAAAGAGCCCAAGGGGACCAUCUUUCUUGACUCGUGCAUGGGUGUUGUUCAGAACAGCAAAGUUCGGCGCUUCGCAUUUGAGCUGAAAAUGCAGGACAAGAGCACGUUUCUGCUGGCGGCAGACAGUGAAGCAGAGAUGGAGGAGUGGAUCGGGAUCCUUAACAAGAUCCUCCACAGCAGCUUUGAACAGGCCAUGCAAGAGAAAAGGAAUGGGGAGUUGCACGAUGAAGAGGAACACGGAAAAACGGACCUCUCCAAUGGAAGUUUCCAAGACGGCUUUCAGACGGCGAGAGACAUAGAGUCCAAAAUGAAGAGUGAAGCCCGUCUGAAACUAUUUACUUUGGAUCCUGACACGCAGAAGCUGGAUUUCUCUGGAAUUGAGCCUGAUGUGCGCCAGUUUGAAGAAAAGUUUGGGAAGCGAUUCUUGGUUAGCUGUCACGACCUGUCGUUCAACCUGCAGGGCUGUGUUGCAGAAAAUGAGGAGGGUCCAACAACAAACGUGGAACCGUUCUAUGUGGUUCUGUCACUGUUCGACGUUCAGAACAGCAGAAAAAUCUCUGCUGACUUCCACGUGGAUCUUAACCACCCUCUAGUCCGACAAAUGACGUCGCCAUCCGGCACCAUUCUCGACACGCACAUCAACGGCGGUGGUGCCGACGUCCCCUUCAGUGACCACCGGCCAGCCAACAGGCUCCCAGAAGGGGCACUACAGUAUCCCAGACAGGGCAUCUUUUCCGUCACAUGUCCACAUCCAGAAAUCUUCCUGGUGGCUCGAAUUGAAAAGGUCCUGCAGGGCGGGAUCACGCAUUGCACAGAGCCUUACAUGAAGAGUUCGGAUUCAGCCAAGAUUGCUCAGAAGGUUCUGAAGAAUGCAAAGACUGCCUGCAGCAGACUGGGCCGCUACCGAAUGCCCUUCGCUUGGGCUGCUAGGCCCAUCUUCAAAGAUGCGUCAGGAACUUUGGACAAAGCUGCUCGCUUCUCUGCUCUGUACAGACAAGACAGCAGCAAGCUGUCAGAUGAGGACAUGUUCAAACUUCUGACCGAUUUUAGAAAACCAGAGAAGAUGGCAAAACUUCCUUUGCUUUUAGGCAACCUGGAUGUAACUAUCGACAGCAUCGCUCCGGAUGUAACAAAUUGUGUCACUUCCUCAUACAUCCCAGUGAAGAACUUUGAAGGGAACAGUGAAGGAACAGCUCUUUUGGAAGUGGAAGAGUUUGUUCCGUGCAUCGCUAAAUGUUCACAACCUUUCACCAUCUACAAAAAUCACCUCUAUGUUUACCCAAAACACCUCAAGUACGAUGGACAGAAGUCCUUUGCCAAGGCCAGGAAUAUUGCCGUUUGUAUUGAGUUUAAAGACUCGGAUGAAGAGGAGGCUCAGCCUUUGAAGUGCAUCUAUGGUCAUCCAGGAGGUCCUCUGUUCACGAAGCAAGCCUUCGCUGCUGUCCUGCAUCACCAGCAGAACCCGGAGUUUUAUGAUGAAAUAAAAAUAGAACUCCCGACUCAGCUACAUGAGAAACAUCACCUUCUCUUCACCUUCUUCCACGUCAGCUGCGACAGCAAUAGCAAGAAGAAAGACGUGGUGGAGGCUCCAGUGGGCUCAGUGUGGCUGCCUCUGCUCAGAGAUGGCAGAGUCAUCAUGAAUGAGCAGCAGUUGCCUGUCGCUGCCAACCUGCCCCCUGGUUAUCUUGGCUGCCAUGAUGUUGUCAGCAAGCAUUCAAGCCCGGAAAUCAAAUGGGUGGAUGGAGGGAAAGCAUUAUUCAAAGUCUCGACGCAUCUAGUUUCAACUGUCUACACACAGGAUCAGCACUUGCAUAACUUCUUCCACCACUGUCAAAACAUGGAGAUGUCAGAACAAGCAGCAGAAGGCGGACUGGUGAAAUUUCUGAAGAGUCUCCAUGCAAUGGAGGGCCAUGUGAUGGUGAACUUCCUUCCCACCAUCCUAAAUCAGCUCUUCUGUGUUCUAACAAGAGCCACGAAUGAGGAUGUGGCUGUCAAUGUUACAAGGGUGAUGGUUCAUGUAGUGGCCCAGUGCCACGAGGAGGGCCUAGAACAUUAUCUAAGGUCUUACGUCAAGUUUGUCUUGAAGCCUGAGCCUUACUCCUCCACUGAAGUUAAAACAGUUCAUGAGGAGCUGGCAAAGGCCAUGACUGCCAUUCUGAAGCCUUCCACUGACUUUCUAACCAGCAACAAGCUGCUGAAGCACUCCUGGUACUUUUUUGAAGCUUUGGUCAAGUCAAUGGCUCAUUUUCUCAUGGAGAGUGGAAAAGUCAAGUUCUCCAGGCAUCAGCGCUUCUGUGCCUCCUUCUACCAUGCGGUGGAAACAUUGGUCAACAUGCUGAUGCCGCACAUCACCCAGAAAUACAAAGACAAUCUGGAUGCUGCUCGCAAUGCCAACCACAGCCUGGCAUUUUUCAUCAAGCGCUGCUUCACCUUCAUGGACAGAGGAUUCGUUUUUAAGCAGAUCAACAAUUACAUGAACUGCUUCAUGCCUGGAGACCCCAAGACCUUAUAUGAGUUCAAGUUUGAAUUUCUGCGAGUGGUUUCCAACCAUGAGCACUACAUCCCCCUGAAUCUCCCCAUGCCCUUUGGCAAAGGCAGAAUACAGAGGUUCCAAGAUCUUCAGCUGGACUACUCCCUGACUGAUGACUUUUGUCGAAACCACUUUCUGGUGGGUCUCUUGCUGAGGGAGGUGGGCGGUGCCCUUCAGGAAUUCAGAGACAUUCGUCAGAUUGCCAUCCAAGUUCUCAAAGGGCUGAUGAUAAAACACACAUUUGAUGAUCGCUAUGGCGCCAAGAGUCAGCAAGCACGGCUAGCCACCCUCUACCUCCCACUGUUCGGCCUCCUCCAAGAGAACGUCUACAGACUGGACAUAAAGGACUCAGUGCCUCUGAUCAACAACAAUAAUAUGAGGGAGGAGUUGCUGGCAACCAACUGCAUGAUGACUCCUCAGAAACCCGGAAGCUGUAUCGAAAGUGCUCUGCACAAGGAUGUGUUUGGAGUCAUAUCGGGAACAGCUUCCCCUCACAGCUCUACUCCCAAUGUCAGUGCCGUCCAGCACGCUGACUCCAGAGGUUCUCUGGUCUCCACCGAUUCUGGAAACAGCCUGCUGGACAAGACCAGUGACAAGAGAAACUCGUUUGAAAAGAGCCAGUGCGCUUCAGCUCUGGGCAGCACUUUGCUGCGUUGUGACAAGUUGGAUCGAGACGAAGUGAAGAACCUGCUCAUGUGCUUCCUGCAUAUCCUUAAAAGCAUGUCAGAGGAGGCCUUAUUUGCCUAUUGGAACAAGGCGGCUCCCUCCGAGCUAAUGGACUUCUUCACUUUAAUAGAAGUUUGUCUUCAUCAGUUCAGAUACAUGGGAAAGAGAUUCAUCGCCAGGAGUCAUGAGGGGCCUGUGGCUCCAGACAGGAAGUCUCUGACUCUGCCUGUGUCUCGUAACAGGGCGGGAAUUCUUCACGCACGCUUACAGCUGGGAGCUAUAGAGAAUGCACACACAUUCAACAAUGUGUACUCACACACAGACGCAGACGUGAGCAGCCAGUGUCUGCUGGAGGCCAACGUGUCCACUGAAGUUUGCCUGACUGUGCUGGACACACUCAGCAUCUUCAUCAUGGGGUUCAAGACUCAGUUGAAUUCAGACCUUGGACACAACCCGCUGAUGAAGAAAGUGUUCCAGGUGCACUUGUGCUUCCUACAGAUCCCACAGUCUGAGGCUGCACUCAAGCAGGUUUUCACCUCACUCAGGACCUUCAUCUACAAGUUUCCCUGCACGUUCUUUGACGGCCGUGCUGACAUGUGUGCCUCUCUGUGCUACGAAAUCCUCAAAUGUUGCAACUCCAAGCUGAGUUCGAUCCGCGGCGACGCCGCCCAUCUUCUCUACUUCCUUAUGAAGAGCAACUUUGACUACACUGGUCGAAAGUCUUUCGUGAGAACACACCUGCAGGUGGUCAUUGCAGUGAGUCAGCUCAUAGCUGAUGUGAUUGGUAUCGGGGGAACACGCUUCCAGCAGUCGCUGUCCAUCAUCAACAACUGUGCCAACAGUGAUAAGAACAUCAAGCACACAGUGUUCUCAUCAGAUGUGAAGGACUUGACCAAGCGCAUCCGAACGGUGCUGAUGGCCACAGAGCAGAUGAAGGAGCAUGAGAAUGACCCGGAGAUGUUGGUGGACCUCCAGUAUAGUUUGGCAAAGUCCUACACCAGCACGCCGGAGCUUCGGAAGACCUGGUUGGACAGCAUGGCGCGCAUCCACAACAAGAACGGGGACCUGUCCGAGGCAGCCAUGUGCUAUGUGCAUGUUGCAGCGCUGGUCUCCGAGUACCUGUGGAGGAAAGGAAUGUUCAGACAAGGCUGCUCGGCUUUUCGUGUCAUAACUCCGAACAUUGAUGAAGAGGCGGCCAUGAUGGAAGAUGUGGGGAUGCAGGACGUUCACUUUAAUGAGGAGGUGCUGAUGGAGCUGCUGGAGGAGUGCGCCGAUGGCCUGUGGAAGGCAGAGCGUUACGAGCUGAUCGCUGACGUCUAUCGGCUGAUCAUUCCGAUCUAUGAGCAGCGGCGGGAUUUUGAGAAACUGACACACCUGUACGACACGCUGCAUCGAGCGUACACUAAAGUGAUGGAGGUGAUGCACUCCGGAAAGCGGCUGCUGGGCACUUUCUUUCGAGUGGCGUUUUUUGGACAGGGUUUUUUUGAAGACGAAGAUGGAAAGGAAUAUAUCUAUAAGGAGCCAAAGUUUACCCCACUGUCUGAGAUCUCCCAGCGUCUCCUGAAGCUUUAUUCUGACAAGUUCGGCCAGGAAAAUGUCAAGAUCAUCCAGGACUCUGGCAGGGUGAACCCAAAGGAUCUGGACUCGAAGUACGCCUACAUCCAGGUGACGCACGUCACGCCGUACCUGGACGACAAAGAGCUGGAGGACCGGAAGACGGACUUUGAGAAGAGCCACAACAUCCGGCGUUUUGUCUUUGAGACACCGUUCACCGUGUCAGGCAAAAAACAGGGAGGCGUGGAAGAGCAGUGCAAAAGGCGUACCAUUCUGACGACCACCCACUGUUUCCCAUAUGUGAAGAAGCGCAUCGCAGUGAUGUACCAGCACCAGACGGACCUCAGCCCCAUUGAGGUGGCCAUAGAUGAGAUGAGCGCUAAGGUGGCCGAGCUGCGACUGCUGUGCUCGGCCUCUGAGGUGGAUAUGAUCCGCCUCCAGCUGAAGCUGCAGGGCAGCAUCAGUGUUCAGGUAAACGCUGGCCCUCUCGCUUACGCCAGAGCAUUCUUAGAUGACAGCAGUGCCAAGAAGUAUCCUGACAACAAGGUCAAGCAGCUAAAAGAAGUCUUCAGGCAGUUUGUGGACGCCUGUGGUCAGGGUCUAGGUGUGAAUGAGCGGCUGAUCAAGGAGGACCAGCAGGAGUAUCACGAUGAGAUGAAGGCCAACUACAAGGAUCUGACCCGGGAACUGUCCAGCAUCAUGCAUGAGCAGGUACACGGUUGCUAAGACGAGAGCCAUAACAGACGGCCUUGUUGAUGCUGGGAUCUUUUCUUGCUGCCUCAGUACAAUCUAUCUAACUAAAGAAAAAGGCAUUUGCCCCGGGGCAAAGUUUGCCUCUUAUCUGCUUGAGUAAACUGUCUAAUUUACAGCCGAUUUCCACUGAACUAACACUGUAUGUCUCAUCAUAUAUUAAUCAUGUCUCUUAUCUCCCCUGUCUUUGUGCUCACCUGCCAGAUCGGAUGAUCAACCCGGCGGAGGACAGCAACAGGAGCACGCUGUCGGACUCACUGGGCAUCUUCAAUGCUAUCAGUGGAACACCGUCGAGUGCCAGUCCUCGCAGCUCCACCAGCAUCAUCUAAUGGUUCUGGGAUCAGUGCUAACCACGACUGAGUGGACCAUUCAAGGAGGACACUGAAGUGGAGUCAGUCCGGAUCAUUGUGUUUUCGUCCUGACUGGGGUCCAGAUUAUUACCAUCUGUUGGAAAUCAUUUUUUAUGAGCAUGGAAAACAUGGACUGCAGGGAGUUGGGUCUGGUUGAUGCUGACCUGCAUCCAAAAUAUGAAACAUCAGGUGGAACUAGUGCCUGGAUGAGGGUUAGUUCCAGUACCCUUUUACAGAAAAAUGAUUAUAAAUAUGCAUUAAUAAUAACAGGGUGCUCAUGAAAUGUCAUUCCUUGUUUUACUGUACCAUUCUUGAUCACCCGUGAAGAAGUCAAAUGCAUCAUGGUAACAUCCGUCUAACAACUACGGCAACACAAGUAGCAACUCUUUUUUAUGCUAGAAAGCUCUAAAAAAUAAUGACAUUUUUGAACUUUCAGAGGCUGUUUCAUUUCUCUCAUCAAAUCAUAUGGGAUUCUACUGCAAUGCGUUUUGAGUUUGAGACAUUCUGAACUGCUGUUCCACAGAAGAGUUAGUAUGAUCCAAGGAAAGGCCCGAAAAGUGUCCACCUUAAGAGGGUUGUCAUUGAAUCCCUGCACAAUAAGGUCUACAAUGUUCUUUGAGAUAAAUGUCUUAGACUAUUGAUUAGAAUUCCAAAGAUUAUGAGGACAAUUCUAUGGAAAUCCAUCCCAGCCAGGUGAAAAAGAAGAGUUUGAACUGAGAGACUCCUCCGGUGCUGAUGUCCCUCUUAUCAAUUCAUGGAGCCUUUGUGGUGUGGAAUAGUGAAUAUAUGUUUAUCUCUGUCACAUCCAAAAACACACUCUUCAUCUUUCAAAACAAUAGUGAGCAGUGGUUCAAAUGUGGUACCAUAAAGUCUAUACUGUACUGUAAGUGGCACUGGCUCCAUUGAUCCCAUGAUCCUUUGCAGCUUACAAGAAUGUGAACGGCUCGCUUGAGGGAUAACUUAUUUUUAAACUAAAUUACUUUAAAACCUAUGAACAUGGUUCUUUUACGCUUGUUAAGGUGGCGUUUCAUCUUGCCAACAAACGCUGUCUGUCACUCUGACAACAUUGACUACCAGACUAAGUCCCCUUUAAAUAUUUGAGGGCAUUCAUGUUAGAUUGUAGCAGUUGCCUCUAAACGCUUGUGCGGCACCUUCCUCAGUUUCGCCCUCUUCUUCCAUCCAUCUCUUCGUUCCUGUGGGACUAUAUAAGAUGAGCAGAAUAGACAGGAUGUUUUUGUGUGCAUUCAAGUGCCACUACAAUUGAUGUUAUCAGUCUUGAACUUCGAACUUUUAUGUAGCCUUGCGUGUUGUGGUUCCCGCCUGAUAUUUUUCUUUCACUAUGACAUUCAAUUCAUUCGCCAUAUUGACUGAUCCCUGUGAUGAUCCCUGAUCCCAGGUUCCACAUGUUAUUCUUUUCAUCCUCCAAGGCAGUGCAGGCCUUUCAAAAUAAAGCAUGGACUUUCUUCGAGUAAUCCAAUCAUAUUAGAGCUAUUUUUCUUGUGCAAUAUUUUCUAUUAUAUUCUGAAGGCUACCUUUGUCUGCACAGAGCGACGGAGUGUGAUCAGCAGGUUUUCUUACUCACUGCAUCAUGUACAGAUUAUAGUGUUUUUUUAUCUGAAACUUUUUACUUACGCGCUAAUGUAAAUACGUUAAGACUUAAUAAAGACUGUAAAACUUAUCAGCAGACUUGAAGUUUUCUGUGAGCUCAUGCAUGUGACUAGUGGCUUCAACUGAACCCUUUCAUUUGAGGAGGUAAAUCAGGUCAUACCACCAUCUGUCACAGUCAGACCCUCCCACGGAGCUCAGCCACUGUCAUAUAUGCAUCUAUCACUGUGAUUGUUUUGUUGUUAUGUACCAUACAUAUUUGUCUGUCUCCAUUAACUCAUUUUCAAUUCAAGACUUUCAAUUCAUUCAAUUCAUAAAUGUAUGUUGGAGGCAUGGAAACUUCAGAAUGGUAAGAAACAUCUUAGUUGUCUGCUCCACUCAAAUUGGUCAGUCUUAAGUGUAUUUCAAACAAUGAAUUUAGUCGUUUUUUCAACCAUUAUAAUUGAAGAAUGCCCACGUGAGUUCAUCCUUU